rnacentral:lncRNA from 1 species
AAUCACAUUUUUUCUACUCCAAAACGUACGUAUGUACAUAAAAACAAAUUAGACAGAUACAAACUUGUUCAUAUUAAAAAAAAAGUUAUAUCGUUUAACAGUUUUUUUUUCUUCUUCUUAAAAGUACAACAUAACAAGAAAGCCCAAAGAAAUUGAAAUCUCAAACCCAAAUUACAACGCCUUUUAUUGUAUCAAAUGAAACAUGUAACUAAAGGUCGCACAUAUGCAGAUUAACCUCCCAUUACCAAAUAGAUCAUGAAACUAACAAAUUUCUUGAAGAAACGAAACUUUUGGAGUCGUCCAGAGACUCUCAACGUUCUACAUCGAUUAAGCGGGACAUUUGAAGUCAGAUGGUGGAGUUUUUCCACAGUCGAGAAGAAGCUCAAGAGCAAUGGGGAGAACAAGGUCGAUGUUGAGAAGUUUGAGCUUAAUGGUGGUACAUAGACAAACGGCUGCGUCUAGGUCAAGUAAACCUCCUAAAACCGGACAACAUUCUGCCUUGGCGUGGCUUUUUCCAAGUCCGAUGUGAAUCAAACCUCCAAGAACGUCCACACAAGCGCCUAGCUUCAGCGUGUCAAUUGGGCAAGUCUCUGGAAUAGGCGUAGGAGGAGUUGGUGUUGGUGGUGUUACUACGGGUGGUGUUGGUGUUGGAGGUGUCACGACGGGUGGUGUUGGUGUUGGUGGUGUAAUGACGGGUGGAGUUGGUGUUGGUGGUGUAAUGACGGGUGGAGUUGGCGUUGGCGGUGUUACGACGGGUGGGGUUGGUGUUGGUGGAGUUAUGACGGGUGGGGUUGGUGUUGGCGGUGUUACAACUGGUGGAGUCGGCGUUGGUGUUGGUGGUGGGCAUGGUGUAGGCGGAGGCUUGUGGUGGGGUGGUUUCGGAGUAGACGGAGGAGGCUUGGUCGUGGGAGGUUUAGGUGUGGACGGGGGAGGUUUGGUGGGAGGUUUAGGGGUGGACGGAGGAGGCUUGGUUGGUGGCUUUACGAUGGGAGGUUUUGGGUGGGGGUGAGGUUUGGUGGGUGGUUUAGGGUGGGGUGGUUUGACGGUGGGUGGCUUAGGGUGGGGUUUGACGGUUGGUGGUUUAGGAUGGGGUUUGACGGUUGGUGGUUUAGGAUGGGGUUUCACGGUGGGAGGUUUUGGAGUAGGUGGUUUUACUGCCGGUGGUUUAGGUGGUUUGACGGCAGGAGGUUUAGGCGGUUUGACUGGAUGUUUUGGUGGUUUGUGAGGUGCUGGUGAUGGUUUAGGAGGGGUACAGUCGCAAGCAUAGGAGACGGCAACGAAGCCAAGGAGGAGGAGGACGAGAAAGGAGAGGUUUUGAGAGCGAGACCCCAUUUUUUGGAAUGAGGGUUUGGGUUUCUGAAAGGAGUGAGU